rnacentral:rRNA from 1 species
AACGAACGCUGGCGGCAUGCCUAACACAUGCAAGUCGAACGAUCCCUUCGGGGAUAGUGGCGCACGGGUGCGUAACGCGUGGGAACCUGCCCUUAGGUUCGGAAUAACUCAGAGAAAUUUGAGCUAAUACCGGAUAAUGUCUUCGGACCAAAGAUUUAUCGCCUUUGGAUGGGCCCGCGUUGGAUUAGCUAGUUGGUGGGGUAAAGGCCUACCAAGGCGACGAUCCAUAGCUGGUCUGAGAGGAUGAUCAGCCACACUGGGACUGAGACACGGCCCAGACUCCUACGGGAGGCAGCAGUGGGGAAUAUUGGACAAUGGGCGAAAGCCUGAUCCAGCAAUGCCGCGUGAGUGAUGAAGGCCUUAGGGUUGUAAAGCUCUUUUACCCGGGAUGAUAAUGACAGUACCGGGAGAAUAAGCCCCGGCUAACUCCG